CAGCCGCCGCGGGAAUACGUAGGGUGCGAGCGUUAAUCGGAAUUACUGGGCGUAAAGCGUGCGCAGGCGGUUUUGUAAGACAGGCGUGAAAUCCCCGGGCUCAACCUGGGAAUGGCGCUUGUGACUGCAAAGCUAGAGUGCGGCAGAGGGGGAUGGAAUUCCGCGUGUAGCAGUGAAAUGCGUAGAUAUGCGGAGGAACACCGAUGGCGAAGGCAAUCCCCUGGGCCUGCACUGACGCUCAUGCACGAGAGCGUGGGGAGCAAACAGGAUUAGAUACCCCUGUAGUCCCUGUCUCUUAUAC
rnacentral:rRNA from 1 species